GAUGAACGCUGGCGGCGUGCUUAACACAUGCAAGUCGAACGAGAAGUGAAGACGGAAACCUUCGGGCGGAAGGCUUUAUUUCGAGUGGCGGACGGGUGAGUAACGCGUGGGUAACCUGCCUCAUACAGGGGGAUAACAGUUGGAAACGACUGUUAAUACCGCAUAAGACCACAGCACCGCAUGGUGCGGGGGUAAAAACUCCGGUGGUAUGAGAUGGACCCGCGUUCGAUUAGCCAGUUGGCGGGGUAACGGCCCACCAAAGCGACGAUCGAUAGCCGAUCUGAGAGGCUGACCGGCCACAAUGGGACUGAGACACGGCCCAAACUCCUACGGGAGGCAGCAGUAGAGAAUAUUGCACAAUGGGGGAAACCCUGAUGCAGCGACGCCGCGUGAGUGAGGAAGUGUUUCGGUAUGUAAAGCUCUAUCAGCAGGGAAGAAAAUGACGGUACCUGAGUAAGAAGCCCCGGCUAACUACGUG
rnacentral:rRNA from 1 species